UCCACCCUCUCUCCCGUUGGAUGCCCAGGAACUCAUCGCCGCGUACUCGCCGCCGAUUGCCGGCCAUGGGUGGUGCCUGGCACUGCCUCACCUUAUCCCCUCCCCCCAGCUCCUCUCCCUCUCUCAUUCUCUUGCUGCUGCUGCUGCUGCUGCUGCUCUCUCUCUCUCUCUCUCUCUCUCUCUCUCUCUCUCUCUCUCGACUGAGUUCAACAGGAGCAACAAUAGCCCCAUUGCCGAGCAAUAGCAGCAGUAGAAAAUCCACCCGAAUCCAUCGCAGUUGCUUCCUCGCCGCCUAUCUUCAUUGCUGUUGCCGAGGACCUCUCCGCCGACCACAUUGCCCAGCCCUCAUCCACUCGGACGAGCAGCGCGACGAGCUUCAGCACGUGAAGAAAACGAAGAGCCAAAGAGCAACUGGGGCAUGAUCGAGGGUGAUCCGGAGGUUGUCGCUGUUGAUUGUGAAGUAAAAAAUCAAGG